rnacentral:rRNA from 1 species
GACGAACGCUGGCGGCGUGCUUAAUACAUGCAAGUCGAACGAAAAGGCGCUGCGUUUGUUGGGUUGUCGUGUGGCGAACGGGUGAGUAUCACGUGAGUAACCUGCCCCUGACUGUGGGAGAACUUCAGGGAACUGGGGCUAUAAUCGGAUAGGAUCUCUUGCUGCAUGGGGUGGGUUGGAAAAUGUCGGCGUUGAUGGAUGGACUCGCGGCGUAUCCGCUUGCUUGGGGGGUUGUGGCUGCCCAAGGCUUUGACGGGUAGCCGGCCUGAGAGGGUGACCGGCCACCUUGGCACCGACGUAAGGCCCCAACUCCUACUGGAGGGAGCAGGGGGAAAUACUGCACAAUGGGCGGAAGCCUGAUGCAGCAACGCCGCGUGCGGGAUGACGGCCUUCGUGUUGUAAAACGCUUUUGCCUGUGACGAAGCGUGACUGACGGUAAUCGGUACAGAAGCCCCCGCUAAAUACGUG